AAUCCAUGUUGUGGGCAUUGACAGAGUAAACCUUUGUAUCAUUCCCAAUCCUCUGAAUACCAUUCUAAGUCUUAUUGUUGGAAAGUAGUAAUCUCAUCCUUUAGCUU
rnacentral:snoRNA from 1 species